GCCCAGGUGGCGGAAUUGGUAGACGCGCUGGACUUAAAAUCCAGUGACCAGCAACGGUCGUGCCGGUUCGAUUCCGGCUCCGGGUACCA
rnacentral:tRNA from 3 species